ensembl:lncRNA
AUGCAGAAGCAGAUGAAGAGCACAGAGCUUGUGGUGGCCCUGUCUCCAGUGCACAUCGCCGUUAUAGUAUUUCGGGGACGUCUUGCAUUCUGUAACCCAAAAGAAAAACCCCAGCCGCUUAACAGAAAGCACAGAAUGAGAAUGAGGCAGCAGAGGAGAAGCUUAAUGUGUCCCCGCGGGUCACAGGUGACUGAUUCUGCCAAGCAGGACACGCUCUUGGAUUCACCUCAGCAUACGUCUACACUGGUAAACAACAGCCUCUAUUCAUCCAAAGAGAAAUCAGUGAAGUUACAUGGCUCAGGAAGUAAAGCGCUGGAGCAAUCAACAAAGAGGUUACAGCUACUCCGCAGAGCAUGAACAACGCUCAAGCCAAGUGAAGGGAAAGAAUGACAGAGAUGGAUAACGAAGGAGCAAAAAAAGGGAAAGACUUCUCCCCACACCUGGUCUGCCCAUUUGUCCCUCAGGAUACGGACAGAUAUCCAUUCAAGCAGAGAUAUAACAAAGAAGUGAUAAACAAAUACUGAAAAAUGGCACAUGCUAAAUCCAGCGUGCCUCGAGAGCUCAAGAGUUGAGGGCAUAUUAAGUGACAAGUUACCAAGAAGUUCAAACUAAAGUUUGCAGGGGUGAAGUUGGAAGUUUAUCUGGGAAUAAGAUGGAAGACCAGUUGGCUUUGGCGGAUAGCAUGAACUGGCUACUGCAGUGUUGAGUCUGUUACAUGUUGGAUUCCAAUCAAAGCCUCUACUUGUUCGGGCCAUUGUUAGCUGCUCUCUUAUGGCUUUGAGGGCUUUGUUGAGUUUGUUGGUGUUGUUGAGUUGAGUGAACACUCUCUCGUACAAUCCAUGGCCUCUUUGGUCUUCAUCACCGCUAACUGAUCACAGUGCUUUCUGAAGAGUGUGGAUUACCAUAUGUUUAUUGUUUAAAAUAAAAGAUGAACGUGUUCCA